rnacentral:rRNA from 1 species
UGGUUCAAGCUAUAAAGGGCAUACGGCUAAUGCCUUGGCACUGGCGAGCGAAGAAGGACGUGGAAGGCUGCGAAAAGCUUCGGGGAGUUGCCUAGCAAACCUUGAUCCGAAGAUGUCCGAAUGGGGCAACCCGUUGCAGGGCAACCUGCAUCAUUCCAUCAUGAAUACAUAGUGGUGGACGGCUAACCGAGGGAAGUGAAACAUCUCAGUACCUCGAGGAAAAGAAAUCAACCGAGAUUCCCUCAGUAGUGGCGAGCGAAAGGGGAAGAGGCUAAACCGAGGUUACAUGUAACCUCGGGGUUGCGGGGCGGUCAACGUGAGACCUGCGUCUGUAGAUAAACGGUCUGGAAAGUCCGAGCAUAGAGGGUGAUACUCCCGUCAUCGAAACAGACAAAGGCUCUAGACCUGUCCCCAAGUACCACAGGGCACGAGAAACCCGGUGGGAAUCAGGGUGGACCAUCAUCCAAGCCUAAAUAUCUGCCAGUGACCGAUAGCGUAUAGUACCGUGAGGGAAAGGUGAAAAGUACCCCGAUGAGGGGAGUGAAAAAGUACCUGAAACCGUAUGUCUACAAGCUGUGGAAGGGCUAUGUCCGCAAGGAAAUGCCCGACCGCGUACCUUUUGCAUCAUGGGUUGGCGACUUAGUUUUUGCGGCAAGGUUAAGCCAUUUAGGUGUAGCCGAAGGGAAACCGAGUCUGAAUAGGGCGUUUUAGUCGCAAGAAUUAGACCCGAAGCUGGUCGAUCUACACAUGGUCAGGAUGAAGCGAGGGUAAAACCUCGUGGAGGUCCGAACCCGUUGAAGUUGAAAAUUCUUGGGAUGAACUGUGUGUAGGGGUGAAAGGCCAAUCAAGGCCAGUGAUAGCUGGUUCUCCCCGAAAGAUAUCUAGGUAUCGCCUCGAGACAUUCAGUCAUGGAGGUAGAGCACUGGAUGGGCUAGGGCGCUUACCCGCGUACCAAACCCAACCAAACUCCGAAUGCCAUGAACUGUUACCUCGGGAGACAGUCGUGGGGUGAUAAGGUCCCGCGGCAAGAGGGAAACAACCCAGACCAUCAGCUAAGGCCCCAAAAUCUUAACUAAGUGGAAAACGAUGUGGAGGCGCAGUGACAACCAGGAGGUUGGCUUAGAAGCAGCAAUCCUUUAAAGAAAGCGUAAUAGCUCACUGGUCAAGUACUUCCGCGCGGAAAAUGUAACGGGGCUCAAGUUAAGUGCCGAAGCUAUGGACUUACAUUGUAAGUGGUAGGGGAGCAUUGUAGCGCCACCGAAGGUCUACCGGUAAGGAGGACUGGAGGCUCUACAAGAGAUUAUGCCAACACGAGUAGCGAGAAAACAGGUGAAAAACCUGUUCGCCGAAAACCCAAGGGUUCCUGGGGUAGGUUAAUCCUCCCAGGGUCAGCCGGUUCCUAAGCCGAGGGCGAAAGCCGUAGGCGAUGGCAAGCAGGUUAAUAUUCCUGCGCCAUUUUGUAGUUAUUGAAACGAGGGGGGACGAAGAAGGGUAGGCCAGCCAGGCGAUGGAUAUCCUGGUUUAAGCCUGUAGGCAGGGUCUCUAGGAUAAAAACGGAGACCUAAUGCUGAGAGGUGAUGACGCGUCAAUCCUUCGGGUGCGACGUAAGUGGUCGAUCCCAUGCUUCCAAGAAAAGCCUCGCGUGGAGACUACAGAGUGACCGUACCGGAAACCGACACAGGUGGGUGGGGAGAGUAUCCCAAGGCGCUUGAGAUAACUUUGGUUAAGGAACUCUGCAAAUUGGCACCGUAACUUCGGGAUAAGGUGUGCCUCCUGUAGGUGAAGGACUUCGCGUCUGGAGCUGAGGGAGGUCGCAGUGAAAUGGGUCUGGCGACUGUUUACCAAAAACACAGGUCUCUGCGAACACGGAAGUGGACGUAUAGGGGCUGACGCCUGCCCGGUGCCGGAAGGUUAAGGGGAUCUGUCAGGGGCAACCCGAAGCAUUGAACUGAAGCCCCGGUGAACGGCGGCCGUAACUAUAACGGUCCUAAGGUAGCGAAAUUCCUUGGCGGGUAAGUUCCGUCCUGCACGAAUGGCGUAACGACCGGACCACUGUCUCAACCAAAGACUCAGCGAAACUGGAUUUGCGGCGCAGAUACCGUAUACCCGCAGCAAGACGGAAAGACCCCGUGAACCUUUACUGUAACUUGACAGUGACGUUCGAGAUGAUUUGUGUAGGAUAGGUGGGAGGCUUUGAAACCGGAACGCUAGUUUCGGUGGAGCCAACCUUGAAAUACCACCCUGAUCAUCUUGACCGUCUAACCUGGGCCCAUUAUCUGGGUCGGGAACACUGUCUGGUGGGCAGUUUGACUGGGGCGGUCGCCUCCGAAAAAGUAACGGAGGCGCGCGAUGGUUCUCUCAGCCUGAUUGGAAACCAGGCGUCGAGUGCAAUGGCAAAAGAGAGCUUAACUGCGAGACCGACAGGUCGAGCAGGUGCGAAAGCAGGUCAUAGUGAUCUGGUGGUCCCGUAUGGAAGGGCCAUCACUUAACGGAUAAAAGGUACUCCGGGGAUAACAGGCUGAUCUCCCCCAAGAGUUCACAUCGACGGGGAGGUUUGGCACCUCGAUGUCGGCUCGUCACAUCCUGGGGCUGAAGUCGGUCCCAAGGGUUUGGCUGUUCGCCAAUUAAAGUGGCACGCGAGCUGGGUUCAGAACGUCGUGAGACAGUUCGGUCCCUAUCUGCUGUGGGCGGAGGAAACUUGAGGAGAGCUAUCCUUAGUACGAGAGGACCGGGAUGGACGAA